AGUGAACGCUGGCGGUAGGCCUAACACAUGCAAGUCGAACGGCAGCACAGUAAGAGCUUGCUCUUACGGGUGGCGAGUGGCGGACGGGUGAGGAAUACAUCGGAAUCUACUUUUUCGUGGGGGAUAACGUAGGGAAACUUACGCUAAUACCGCAUACGACCUACGGGUGAAAGCAGGGGAUCUUCGGUCCUUGCGCGAUUGAAUGAGCCGAUGUCGGAUUAGCUAGUUGGCGGGGUAAAGGCCCACCAAGGCGACGAUCCGUAGCUGGUCUGAGAGGAUGAUCAGCCACACUGGAACUGAGACACGGUCCAGACUCCUACGGGAGGCAGCAGUGGGGAAUAUUGGACAAUGGGCGCAAGCCUGAUCCAGCCAUACCGCGUGGGUGAUGAAGGCCUUCGGGUUGUAAAGCCCUUUUGUUGGGAAAGAAAAGCAGCAGGUUAAUACCCCGCUGUUCUGACGGUACCCAAAGAAUAAGCACCGGCUAACUUCGUG
rnacentral:rRNA from 1 species